GGAUCCAGACUUUGAUCAUGGCUCAGAUUGAACGCUGGCGGCGUGCCUAACACAUGCAAGUCGAACGCGAAAGUUUCUUCGGAAAUGAGUAGAGUGGCGCACGGGUGAGUAACGCGUGGAUUAUCUACCUACUGGCACGGGACAACAGUUGGAAACGACUGCUAAUACCGUAUACGCUGGUAACGGGAAAGGGGGCCUCUUCUUGAAAGCUCUCGCCAGUAGAUGAGUCCGCGUUUCAUUAGCUAGAUGGUGGGGUAACGGCCUACCGUGGCAACGAUGAAUAGCAGGCCUGAGAGGGUGGCCUGCCACACUGGGACUGGAACACGGCCCAGACUCCUACGGGAGGCAGCAGUGGGGAAUAUUGCGCAAUGGACGAAAGUCUGACGCAGCGACGCCGCGUGGAGGAUGAAGGUUUUCGGAUCGUAAACUCCUGUCAAGAGGGAAGAAACCUAUCAUGAAUAAUACUCAUGGUAAUUGACGGUACCUCUAGAGGAAGCACCGGCUAAUUCAGUGCCAGCAGCCGCGG
rnacentral:rRNA from 1 species